rfam:Pelosinus fermentans B4 ctg34, whole genome shotgun sequence.
GGGAGCUGUAUGAGCUGAGAGGUUCACGUACAGUUCUGAGAGAGACUUAGGGGGAAGUUCCCUAGGUCUACUUGCU